UACAGAGGUGGCAAGCGUUGUUCGGAAUUCCUGGGCGUAAAGGGCGCGUAGGCGGUCUUUUAAGUCUUGUGUGAAAUCCCUCGGCUCAACUGAGGAACUGCACGGGAUACUGGAAGACUUGAGUUCGGGAGAGGGAAGCGGAAUUCCGGGUGUAGCGGUGAAAUGCGUAGAUAUCCGGAGGAACACCGGUGGCGAAGGCGGCUUCCUGGACCGAUUACUGACGCUGAGGCGCGAAAGCUAGGGGAGCAAACGGG
rnacentral:rRNA from 1 species